rnacentral:rRNA from 1 species
AUGAACGCUGGCGGCGUGCCUAAUACAUGCAAGUCGAGCGAACAGACGAGGAGCUUGCUCCUCUGACGUUAGCGGCGGACGGGUGAGUAACACGUGGAUAACCUACCUAUAAGACUGGGAUAACUUCGGGAAACCGGAGCUAAUACCGGAUAAUAUAUUGAACCGCAUGGUUCAAUAGUGAAAGACGGUUUUGCUGUCACUUAUAGAUGGAUCCGCGCCGCAUUAGCUAGUUGGUAAGGUAACGGCUUACCAAGGCGACGAUGCGUAGCCGACCUGAGAGGGUGAUCGGCCACACUGGAACUGAGACACGGUCCAGACUCCGACGGGAGGCAGCAGUAGGGAAUCUUCCGCAAUGGGCGAAAGCCUGACGGAGCAACGCCGCGUGAGUGAUGAAGGUCUUCGGAUCGUAAAACUCUGUUAUUAGGGAAGAACAAAUGUGUAAGUAACUAUGCACGUCUUGACGGUACCGAAUCAGAAAGCCACGGCUAACUACGUG